rnacentral:rRNA from 1 species
GACGAACGCUGGCGGCGUGCCUAAUACAUGCAAGUCGAGCGGAUCUUGUUUAGAAGCUUGCUUCUAAACUUGGUUAGCGGCGGACGGGUGAGUAACACGUAGGCAACCUGCCCUUAAGACCGGGAUAACAUUCGGAAACGAAUGCUAAGACCGGAUACGCAAGCCUGGGGCAUCUCGGGCUUGUGAAACACGGAGCAAUCUGUGGCUUAUGGAUGGGCCCGCGGCGUAUUAGCUAGUUGGUGAGGUAAUGGCUAACCAAGGCAAUGAUACGUAGCCGAACUGAGAGGGUGAUCGGCCACACUGGGACUGAGACACGGCCAAGACUCCUACGGGAGGCAGCAGUAGGGAAUCUUCCGCAAUGGACGAAAGUCUGACGGAGCAACGCCGCGUGAGUGAAGAAGGUUUUCGGAUCGUAAAACUCUGUUGUUAAAGAAGAACAAGGAUGAGAGUAACUGCUCAUCCCCUGACGGUAUUUAACCAGAAAGCCACGGCUAACUACGUGCCAGCAGCCGCCGUAA